AUCCCAGUUAAACUGGCUUCAAUAUUUAUCUGAUUCAUGGGAGGCCAAAAGAAAUGAUGGGAGAUUCGCUGAUAUCACUUCCUUUCCUUGGAGGUGUUUCAUUAGUAUCUUGCCUUAUAUCU